UACGAAGGGGGCUAGCGUUGCUCGGAAUCACUGGGCGUAAAGCGCACGUAGGCGGCUUUUUAAGUCAGGGGUGAAAUCCUGGAGCUCAACUCCAGAACUGCCUUUGAUACAGCACGUCUUGAGUCCGGAAGAGGUGGGUGGAAUUCCUAGUGUAGAGGUGAAAUUCGUAGAUAUUAGGAAGAACACCGGUGGCGAAGGCGGCCCACUGGUCCGGUACUGACGCUGAGGUGCGAAAGCGUGGGGAGCAAACAGG
rnacentral:rRNA from 1 species